ensembl:rRNA 5S_rRNA 5S ribosomal RNA
UCCACAGCCAUAUCACCCUGCAGCCCAAGACUGGUUGCCCACUGAAGCUAAGCAGGGUUGAGCCUGGUCAGUACCUGGAUGGGAGACCUCCUGGGAAAACUAGGUUGCUGUUGGAA